UGGGGAAUCUUGCGCAAUGGCCGAAAGGCUGACGCAGCGACGCCGCGUGUGGGAGGACGCUCUUCGGGGUGUAAACCACUGUUGCCCGGGACGAACAUCCACUUUCGAGUGGACUGACGGUACCGGGUGAGGAAGCACCGGCUAACUCCGUGCCAGCAGCCGCGGUAAUACGGAGGGUGCGAGCGUUGUCCGGAAUCAUUGGGCGUAAAGGGCGCGUAGGUGGCCCGGUCAGUUCGUGGUGAAAGCGCGGGGCUCAACCCCGCGUCGGCCAUGGAUACUGCUGGGCUUGAGCACUGUAGAGGCAGGCGGAAUUCCGGGUGUAGCGGUGGAAUGCGUAGAGAUCCGGAAGAACACCGGUGGCGAAGGCGGCCUGCUGGGCAGUAGCUGACACUGAGGCGCGACAGCGUGGGGAGCAAACA
rnacentral:rRNA from 1 species